rnacentral:rRNA from 1 species
UUUUCCGUUUGAUCCUGCCGGACCCCACUGCUAUCGAGGUGGGACUAAGCCAUGCUAGUCGAACGCACAGAACUAUGUCUGUGAGUGGCAUACUGCUCAGUAACACGUAGCUAACCUACCCUUCGGACGAGGACAACCCCGAGAAAUUGGGGCUAAUCCUCGAUAGAUGUGAUGUCCUGGAAUGGUAUCAUGCCUAAAGGUAUAUCAUACAUGUUUGACAUACGCCUAAGGAUGGGGCUGCGGCUGAUCAGGCAGUUGGUGAGGUAAUGGCUCACCAAACCAUUGACCAGUACGGGCCAUGAGAGUGGUAGCCCGGAGAUGGACACUGAGACAAGGGUCCAGGCCCUACGGGGCGCAGCAGGCGCGAAACCUCCUCAAUGCACUAACGUGCGAAGGGGUUACCUCGAGUGCUAUCUGAAGAAGGUGGCUUUUCCAUGGUUUAAAAAGCCUAGGGAAUAAGAGGGGGGCAAGACUGGUGUCAGCCGCCGCGGUAACACCAGCCCCUCGAGUGGUGGGGAUGAUUAUUUGGCCUAAAGCGUCCGUAGCCGGCCAGAUAAGUUUCCCGUUAAAUCCAACGUCUCAAGCGUUGGACUGCGGGAAAUACUGUCUGGCUAGAGAGUGGGAGAGGUUAGCGGUAUUCUGGGGGUAGGGGCGAAAUCCUUUGAUCCCCGGAGGACCACCAGUGGCGAAGGCUGCUAACUAGAACACGUCUGACGGUCAGGGACGAAAGCUGGGGUAGCGAACCGGAUUAGAUACCCGGGUAGUCCCAGCCGUAAACGAUGCAUGCUAGGUGUUGGGUUGGCCAAGAGCCACCCCAGUGCCGCAGGGAAGCCGUUAAGCAUGCCGCCUGGGAAGUACGAUCGCAAGAUUGAAACUUAAAGGAAUUGGCGGGGGAGCACCACCAGGCGUGAAGCCUGCGGUUUAAUUGGAGUCAACGCCGGAAUCACUAGU